UUGUCCCUAGGGGAGUCUGAGAAGGUUCUCAGAAACCUUUUUGUGAAGCCUGAAUGCAGAAUACUUUAUUGAUCACUAAAGAAUUUGCACUGACAUGCUAUUUCCCCAUGACAUUUGAACCACCAAUUUCCUAGCUCUUGGGACUCAAGGGAACACAUGUACUGCUGUCGGCUUCUCUCCACACCCACUCUGUGCGAUGACUACAGAAUCAUUUUAAUCAAGAAUGAAGACUGCAUAAUUCAAGCAACAGGGUCAAAAGUCCUACAGGAAAAGUGCAUUGUUUUAACUUCAGUCAGUUUUUAAAUCAACAUUAUUAAAGCUUGGCUAAAUAAUUAAGGAACAGCACUCCAAACGGCAUCUGGGAUUGUCAAAAUGCAGAUGAGUUCAUAGUGCCUUCACACCUGGCACUCUUUACGCUGACUUGUGGAGUAAAGCCACUGCAUGAAGGGGAGAAAUAUAUCCCCUCGCUACUUGGAUGCUCUGGUCUCUGAUACAGGCAAACUCCUGGCAGGUAGCUCCACCUGACUCCCAAGUGGAUGGGCUGUGUGUGGUGUGUGGAAAGGUCUAAUGUACGGGUGCUGCCAAACCACGUUUAGUUAAUUGGUUCACGUAAUAGCUGCUCUUUGGGUGGGCAAUUUAGUGGUGAGGGAUGUGAAGAUUUAACUCUCCUAUCCUUCAGGCUGUUGUCCACAUUUGCAAACCAUGCUCAGACCUGACCAUGCCUCCACACUGAAGACUGUGUCCAGCUGUGAUUUCUGCUAGGACCUCUUACAACUUCUCUGGAGCUCUACCUGCCAUGAGUGCCACCACGAUGUUCUCUCUCUAUUGUAGUCCUGUAAUAAUAAUUGCAUAAACAGUCACCCCUGGGGGGUGACAUACAAAUAAAGGAAAGGCAAGAAAUCGAGAUAUUCUGUGAGAGGAGUCUAUAGGACAUAUGUACAGCAUAAGGACACAAGUCAGCACAUGUCUAGGAUGGGAGAACCUAGCAGAUGAUACAUGGAGUGGGAUGAAAAAGAGAAAGGCACCGAGCAAGGCUUUGAAUGGAGAAGCGGACUGCAUCCAACCUGCCCCAUGCACAGCUAACAGGCAGGAAGUUGUAUACAGAUUGUGUUUUCCUCCUCUGCUCUAUAUUUAUUAGCAGUCUCCAAAUUCUCAUCCCUUUACCCAGCUUUAUCCAAGAUUUCUUUGCAAGUCAAAGGGCACAGACCACCAUUUUUGUUCUGUUAUUCUUAAAUCUCUUCUUUCCUGCUGCUUCUGUGCAAAAGCAUUUGAAGAUCUUCACUGUUUCCCCAGGUUAAUACUUGACAGGUAGUGGACAUCUCCUAAUGUCUAUCAGGCAUGUAAGAAAAAAACCAGCUGUUCCUGCAUGUUUAGCCACUGUAUGAUUUCCAUAUGUCUUGCUGGUGUUGCUGCUUGCCUGGACUCAGGUACAUGUCAGAUGGAUUACUUUCUCCUGUGCAAAAACUGAACAUGUGAUUCAGCACAUUUCUGUAAAUAUUUAUUUAGAUGUUGAUACAGAUCUAAAUAAUCUGUUCUCCAGCUCCUUUGGAUCACUUUGAGUGUUCCUUGGCAGAAAUAUUUAUGAAUUUUAAGUAAAUACUGAAAAUUGCCUCAGGCUAUGAAAUCUGAAUUGAUAAAUGUGAGUUCUUGCACCAAAAAGAUGCUGCUAAGCUUUCUAGCUGGUGUAGAGAAAGGUCUAGCAACUCAGCCUAAAUUAUGGAUCUCAACUAUUAGCAAGAUAUAGCUUUUAAACAAUUUACUGGCUGUCAAUCAAAUCAUACAUGCAAUAAAUUUUAUAUUCAAAAGCAAGACAGAACUUUGUG